rnacentral:rRNA from 1 species
GUAAGGAAUAUUGGGCAAUGGAGGCAACUCUGACCCAGCCAUCCCGCGUGAAGGAUUAAGGCCCUAUGGGUUGUAAACUUCUUUUGCUUGGGAAGAAAUCAGGACAUUUAUGUGCUGUUGACGGUACCUUGCGAAUAAGCACCGGCUAACUCCGUGCCAGCAGCCGCGGUAAUACGGAGGGUGCAAGCGUUAUCCGGAAUCACUGGGUUUAAAGGGUGCGUAGGCGGUUUGAUAAGUCAGAGGUGAAAGCUAGCAGCUUAACUGUUAAAUUGCCUUUGAUACUGUCAGACUUGAAUCAGGUUGAGGUAGGCGGAAUGUGACAUGUAGCGGUGAAAUGCAUAGAUAUGUCAUAGAACACCAAUUGCGUAGGCAGCUUGCUGGGCUUGAAUUGACGCUGAGGCACGAAAGCGUGGGGAUCAAACAGGAUUAGAUACCCCAGUAGUCC